CUUACCAUGCAGUCGAACGAUGAUGCCCAGCUUGCUGGGUGGAUUAGUGGCGAACGGGUGAGCACACGUGAGUAACCUGCCCCUGACUCUGGGAUAAGCGUUGGAAACGACGUCUAAUACUGGAUAUGACUACCGGCCGCAUGGUCUGGUGGUGGAAAGAUUUUUUGGUUGGGGAUGGACUCGCGGCCUAUCAGCUUGUUGGUGAGGUAAUGGCUCACCAAGGCGACGACGGGUAGCCGGCCUGAGAGGGUGACCGGCCACACUGGGACUGAGACACGGCCCAGACUCCUACGGGAGGCAGCAGUGGGGAAUAUUGCACAAUGGGCGAAAGCCUGAUGCAGCAACGCCGCGUGAGGGAUGACGGCCUUCGGGUUGUAAACCUCUUUUAGUAGGGAAGAAGCGAAAGUGACGGUACCUGCAGAAAAAGCACCGGCUAACUACGUGCCAGCAGCCGCGGUAAUACGUAGGGUGCAAGCGUUGUCCGGAAUUAUUGGGCGUAAAGAGCUCGUAGGCGGUUUGUCGCGUCUGCUGUGAAAUCCCGAGGCUCAACCUCGGGCUUGCAGUGGGUACGGGCAGACUAGAGUGCGGUAGGGGAGAUUGGAAUUCCUGGUGUAGCGGUGGAAUGCGCAGAUAUCAGGAGGAACACCGAUGGCGAAGGCAGAUCUCUGGGCCGUAACUGACGCUGAGGAGCGAAAGCAUGGGGAGCGAACAGGAUAGAAUACCCUGGUA
rnacentral:rRNA from 1 species